GUCUUCCUACGGGGCGCAGCAGUGAGGAAUAUUGGUCAAUGGGCGCGAGCCUGAACCAGCCAAGUAGCGUGAAGGAUGACUGCCCUAGGGGUUGUAAACUUCUUUUAUAAAGGAAUAAAGUGAGGCACGUGUGCCUUUUUGUAUGUACUUUAUGAAUAAGGAUCGGCUAACUCCGUGCCAGCAGCCGCGGUAAUACGGAGGAUCCGAGCGUUAUCCGGAUUUAUUGGGUUUAAAGGGAGCGUAGAUGGGUUGUUAAGUCAGUUGUGGCAGUUUGCGG
rnacentral:rRNA from 1 species